UGAUGAUCAGUAGGGGAACUGAGAGGUUGAUCCCCCACACUGGCACUGAGAUACGGGCCAGACUCCUACGGGAGGCAGCAGUAGGGAAUAUUGGUCAAUGGAUGGAAGUCUGAACCAGCCAUGCCGCGUGCAGGAAGAAGGCCUUCUGGGUUGUAAACUGCUUUUGCCAGGGGAUAAAAUGACCUUGCGAGGUUAAUUGAAGGUACCUGGUGAAUAAGCCACGGCUAACUACGUGCCAGCAGCCGCGGUAAUACGUAGGUGGCAAGCGUUGUCCGGAUUUAUUGGGUUUAAAGGGUGCGUAGGCGGCUUAUUAAGUCAGUGGUGAAAUACUCUAGCUCAACUAGAGGGGUGCCAUUGAUACUGAUGAGCUUGAGUACAGAUGAGGUAGGCGGAAUUGACGGUGUAGCGGUGAAAUGCUUAGAUAUCGUCAAGAACACCUAUAGCGAAGGCAGCUUACUAGGCUGUAACUGACGCUGAGGCACGAAAGUGUGGGGAUCAAACAGGAUUAGAUACCCUGGUAGUCCACACUGUAAACGUUGAUUACUCGCUGUGUGCGAUAUACAGUACGCGGCCAAGCGAAAGCGAUAAGUAAUCCACCUGGGGAGUACGCCGGCAACGGUGAAACUCAAAGGAAUUGACGGGGGUCCGCACAAGCGGAGGAGCAUGUGGUUUAAUUCGAUGAUACGCGAGGAACCUUACCUGGACUAGAAUGCCCUUGACCGAUCCAGAGAUGGAUUUUUCCGCAAGGACAAGGAGCAAGGUGCUGCAUGGCCGUCGUCAGCUCGUGCCGUGAGGUGUUGGGUUAAGUCCCGCAACGAGCGCAACCCCUAUUUUUAGUUGCCAACAGGUUAAGCUGGGGACUCUAAAAAGACUGCCCGCGCAAGCGGAGAGGAAGGAGGGGACGACGUCAGGUCAUCAUGGCCCUUACGUCCAGGGCUACACACGUGCUACAAUGGCGUAUACAGAGUGUUGCAAACCAGCGAUGGUAAGCCAAUCACAAAAAGUACGUCUCAGUUCAGAUUGCAGGCUGCAACUCGCCUGCAUGAAGUUGGAAUCGCUAGUAAUCGCGCAUCAGCAAUGGCGCGGUGAAUACGUUCCCGGACCUUGUACACACCGCCCGUCAAGCCAUGAGAGUCGGGAGGACCUGAAGGCAGUUGCUGUAAGGCGCUGUUUAGGGUUAAACCGAUGAUUAGGGCUAAGUCGGAACAAGGUA
rnacentral:rRNA from 1 species